GGCAGGGUGGAAGGAAAUCCUGAACAAGGUAAGACGGCAUGCCCAACAAACAGUACGUUGAGAAAUAUCUAUUUCCCUCUUCCAGCAUCUUCUUCCGGGAUGAAAUCUAACAUUUCAAGUGAGGGAUCAGACUAUGCGGUGCUGGGGUGAGCCUUUACCUGCUUCGAUCUGAUUGAUCUCCACCAGUCCUUGAAGCCUGUGGACCAAAGCUGUUCUGGUGCGCGGGGACACCCUGCGGGGAAAGCCGUGUGAGCAGCGCCGGCCUCUGGGCUCCAUCGCCCUCGUCCUGCAUGUAGAGAGGAUCCCUGGAGAGGUCACGCCGCGUUCCCAGAGAUGUGACCCCAGCUGUCUGCUCAUGCGCGCUCCCGGGACCCCGGCGCCCGGCCGCCCGGCGCUGCCGCGGCUGCUGCCCGGGUUGCCCGGGUUGCUGCUACUGUUGCUGCUGCUGCUGAGCGCUUCGGGACGGGCAGUUCCCAGAGCAAACCACAUGUCCAGGAUCCAUCCUUGCAGCUCACCUCAGUGUGACUCUCGCAGGGAGGUCGUCUCUUAAUCUCCAAUGUGGAAGCAGCCUUCACAGGACUUACUGGUCAUCCCACCCAACUGCUACUUCUUUGAAUCACCCCCUACAGCAUCAGUCCAGGGAAAUUAAUUACCUGUGCCCUGCUGGAGAACCUCUCACCACAGGAAACUCACUACCAGCACCCAGAUAGGCAAGAUGCCCCCGCCAACUACUAAAAAGUCCUUCCGUAAACUAGCAAAGCACUUGGUGCUUGCUAUUUUCAUCCAUUGUUUGUAUUUAUUUUGAGCUGAAAAAGCCCCCAUAGGAUAAGGAAAAUGUGUUGGUAUUGGGGGUGCAGCUGUCACGUUUCAGCUGCCUCUUUGGUCUCUGCUCACGGCCUCUUACGUGAUAUCUGUGCCAUGUCCCUUCCCUGUGUUGUUUCCAUGAUGUCUCCCAAGGUGUGUGACUUCUUGGGCUGGCUCCCUACAGAGCUCGAUGGAAUGGCUAACUUACCAAACGCGGAAGUUUUGUGAACAUGUCAGACCUGGAAGUCUGCACUGAGAAGGUUGAGAGGAGAUAUGAGGUCUUCUCCUAUGCUUUCCAUAUCAUAAACGUGAAGGACAGCCACCGUGGGCUCUCAACAAAGACUGCUAGUGUUUAACAUCUUGCAUCUGGGAAGCUCUCUCCUCAGACCCCUGCCUCCCAUCUCUUCAGUUAACUGCUCCAAAUAUGUGUGAGGCAAAACUGCCCAUUUUAUUCCAACCCAGCUCUCCCUCCAUUUUAUAUUAAAAAUAUAUAUGUUGCAGAAUGUCUGCUAAAUUA